CCUACGGGAGGCAGCAGUAGGGAAUUUUCGUCAAUGGGCGCAAGCCUGAACGAGCAAUGCCGCGUGAACGAGGAAGGUCUUCAGAUCAUAAAGUUCUGUUGAAGGGGAAAAAGAGCGGAGAGAGGAAAUGGUCUCCGAUUGAUAUUACCCUUCGAGGAAGUCACGGCUAACUACGUGCCAGCAGCCGCGGUAAUACGUAGGUGGCGAGCGUUAUCCGGAAUGAUUGGGCGUAAAGGGUGCGUAGGCGGCCUGCUAAGUCUGGAGUGAAAGGUACCGGCUCAACCGGUACAGGCUCUGGAAACUGGCGGGCUAGAGAGCAGGAGAGGGCGGUGGAACGCCAUGUGUAGCGGUAAAAUGCGUAGAUAUAUGGAAGAACACCAGUGGCGAAGGCGGCCGCCUGGCCUGUUGACUGACGCUGAGGCACGAAAGCGUGGGGAGCAAAUAGGAUUAGAUACCCCGGUAGUC
rnacentral:rRNA from 1 species